UCUAUAUUCUUCCUCCACUGGUAAUCAUGACCAUUGGAGUUCCAGAGAUGCCAGAAUCUGCCCAACACUAAUGUUGGAAUAGCACUGAACACUUCUAAGUCCGACUCAAAGAGGCCCUUUGACAGCUCAGAAAUUCAGGCAGAGCUCAGAGGGAGUGGCUUGCUGCUGCUCCACGAUGUCUGGAGCCUCAUUUGAGAGAAUUUGAAGAUGAGGUGACUUCACCGUUGGGACUGGAAUCACCUGAAGCCAUGUUCACUUAUGUGCCUGGUACCUGGAUUGGGACAACUUGAAGAAAAGGGCGUGACUGAGUGACUACACGUUACACAUAGCAUCUCCAUGUGGCUUGGCUUCCUCACAGCAUGGUGGCCUCUGGGUUGUUGGACUUUUUACAUGGUGGCUCAGGACCCCAGAAUUAAGUAUUCCAACAAACAAGUUGGAAGCUCCAUGCCUUUUUAUGAUCCAGCCUCUUAAAUCAUAUGAUAUAAUUUCCACUCCAUUGACUGAAGCAGCUCCAUACUUACCCAGGUUCAAAAGGAGGAGAAAAACAUCUCAUCUGCUGAUAACAGGGUUAUCAAUAAAUUUGGGGGCAUUGUUUGUUUGGGGGAGGAGGAGCAGUGUUUUAACAUAUUUAUGUAUUUAUAGGAAUGCAUACUCAGUAACUAUGGAAUGAAUGAUUUGUGGAUAAAAUAUAUUUCUUGUAAUUAUACACUGAUAGCUGAUGCCAGGAUAAAGGAUUGUUAAAAGUUGGGAGAGAAUCAAAAUUCAGAGUCUUAUAAGACCUUCUUGAAAUUAAAAAUAGGCACUGUACUAAGUAAAUUAUACUUGUAUUUUUUAAAUAUACAAGUUUAUAGAUGAGAAAAUAGAAAUUCAGAAAGUUAGUUGACCUGCUGAAAGUCUUACAACCAAUAAAUGGCAGAAACCUGAUUCUAAAUCAA